rnacentral:tRNA from 1 species
GCCUGGGUGGCUCGGUCGGUUGAGCGGCUGACUUCAGCUCAGGUCAUGAUCAUGCGGUUUGUGGGUUUGAGCCCCACGUCAGGCU